rnacentral:rRNA from 1 species
GAUGAACGCUGGCGGCGUGCCUAAUACAUGCAAGUCGAGCGAACGGACGAGAAGCUUGCUUCUCUGAUGUUAGCGGCGGACGGGUGAGUAACACGUGGAUAACCUACCUAUAAGACUGGUAUAACUUCGGGAAACCGGAGCUAAUACCGGAUAAUAUUUUGAACCGCAUGGUUCAAAAGUGAAAGACGGUCUUUCUGUCACUUCUAGAUGGAUCCGCGCUGCAUUAGCUAGUUGGUCAGGUAACGGCUUACCAAGGCAACGAUGCGUAGCCGACCUGAGGGGCGGAUCGGCCACCUUGGAACUGAGACACGGUCCAGACGCCUGCGGGAGGCAGCAGUAUCCAACCUUCCGCAGUGGGCGGAAGCCUUACGGAGCAACCCCGCGUGAGUGAUGAAGGCCUUCGGAUCGUAAAGCUCUGUUAUUAGGGAAGAACAUAUGUGUAAGUAACUGUGCACAUCUUGACGGUACCUAAUCAGAAAGCCACGGCUAACUACGUG